CCUACGGGGGGCUGCAGUGGGGAAUAUUGGACAAUGGGGGGAACCCUGAUCCAGCCAUGCCGCGUGUGUGAAGAAGGCCCUCGGGUUGUAAAGCACUUUCAGGGAGGAAGAACGCCUGGUGGUUAAUACCCAUCAGGAAAGACAUCACUCACAGAAGAAGCACCGGCUAACUCCGUGCCAGCAGCCGCGGUAAUACGGAGGGUGCGAGCGUUAAUCGGAAUUACUGGGCGUAAAGCGCGCGUAGGUGGCUUGAUAAGCCGGUUGUGAAAGCCCCGGGCUCAACCUGGGAACGGCAUCCGGAACUGUCAAGCUUGAGUGCAGGAGAGGAAGGUAGAAUUCCCGGUGUAGAGGUGAAAUGCGUAGAGAUCGGGAGGAAUACCAGUGGCGAAGGCGGCUUUCUGGUCUGACACUGACACUGAGGUGCGAAAGCGUGGGUAGCAAACAGGAUUAGAUACCCCUGUAGUC
rnacentral:rRNA from 1 species